rnacentral:rRNA from 1 species
UAGCCUUGACAUACUACAGAAUUUGACAGAGAUGUUGAAGUGCCUUCGGGAGCUCAGAGACAGGUGCUGCAUGGCUGUCGUCAGCUCGUGUCGUGAGAUGUUCGGUUAAGUCCGGCAACGAGCGCAACCCUUGUCUUCAGUUGCCAGCACGUAAAGGUGGGAACUCUGAAGAGACUGCCCCGGUUAACGGGGAGGAAGGUGGGGAUGACGUCNAGUCCUCAUGGGCCUUAUGUCUGGGGCUACACACGUGCUACAAUGGUAUGUACAAAGGGCAGCAAGCAUGCGAGCGCAAGCCAAUCCCUUAAAGCAUAUCCCAGUCCGGAUUGGAGUCUGUUUCUCGACUCCAUGAAGUUGGAAUCGUUAGUAAUCGUGUAUCAGCAUGCCACGGUGAAUACGUUCCCGGUUCU